rnacentral:lncRNA from 1 species
AUGAAUAGUCAAAGAAAGGAAGCUGUCAGGUUCGUACCCAUUUUCUGUCCCCCCUCACUUUCCCAAGGCGUGCGGGGCGGCGUUCAGCCCAGUUGGAGAGCAGGAGGAGAUGCCCCGCGCUGCUGGCUCUGGUGUGCUGCUGUCAGUCUGCCUUGGCUGUUUGUUUCUGAGGAGGGAGCAGUGACUCCAGCAGCAGUUCGAGUGAUGAGUCGCCGGCACGCUCAGUGCAGUCCACAGCAGUCCCUGCGCCUGCAUCCCAGCUGCUUCCAUCUCUGGAGAAAGAUGAACCCAGGAAAAGUUUUGGGAUCAAGGUCCAAAAUCUUCCAGUGCGCUCGACAGAUACAAGCCUUAAAGAUGGACUUUUCCAUGAAUUCAAGAAGUAUGGGAAGGUGA